rnacentral:rRNA from 1 species
GAUGAACCCUAUCGACAGGCUUAACACAUGCAAGUCGAGGGGCAGCACAGGUAGCAAUACCGGGUGGCGACCGGCGCACGGGUGAGUAACGCGUAUGCAACUUGCCUAUCAGAGGGGGAUAACCCGGCGAAAGUCGGACUAAUACCGCAUGAAGCAGGGGCCCCGCAUGGGGAUAUUUGCUAAAGAUUCAUCGCUGAUAGAUAGGCAUGCGUUCCAUUAGGCAGUUGGCGGGGUAACGGCCCACCAAACCGACGAUGGAUAGGGGUUCUGAGAGGAAGGUCCCCCACAUUGGUACUGAGACACGGACCAAACUCCUACGGGAGGCAGCAGUGAGGAAUAUUGGUCAAUGGCCGAGAGGCUGAACCAGCCAAGUCGCGUGAGGGAUGAAGGUUCUAUGGAUCGUAAACCUCUUUUAUAAGGGAAUAAAGUGCGGGACGUGUCCCGUUUUGUAUGUACCUUAUGAAUAAGGAUCGGCUAACUCCGUGCCAGCAGCCGCGGUAAUACGGAGGAUCCGAGCGUUAUCCGGAUUUAUUGGGUUUAAAGGGUGCGUAGGCGGCCUUUUAAGUCAGCGGUGAAAGUCUGUGGCUCAACCAUAGAAUUGCCGUUGAAACUGGGGGGCUUGAGUAUGUUUGAGGCAGGCGGAAUGCGUGGUGUAGCGGUGAAAUGCAUAGAUAUCACGCAGAACCCCGAUUGCGAAGGCAGCCUGCCAAGCCAUUACUGACGCUGAUGCACGAAAGCGUGGGGAUCAAACAGGAUUAGAUACCCUGGUAGUCCACGCAGUAAACGAUGAUCACUAGCUGUUUGCGAUACACUGUAAGCGGCACAGCGAAAGCGUUAAGUGAUCCACCUGGGGAGUACGCCGGCAACGGUGAAACUCAAAGGAAUUGACGGGGGCCCGCACAAGCGGAGGAACAUGUGGUUUAAUUCGAUGAUACGCGAGGAACCUUACCCGGGUUUGAACGCAUUCGGACCGAGGUGGAAACACCUUUUCUAGCAAUAGCCGUUUGCGAGGUGCUGCAUGGUUGUCGUCAGCUCGUGCCGUGAGGUGUCGGCUUAAGUGCCAUAACGAGCGCAACCCUUGCCACUAGUUACUAACAGGUUAGGCUGAGGACUCUGGUGGGACUGCCAGCGUAAGCUGCGAGGAAGGCGGGGAUGACGUCAAAUCAGCACGGCCCUUACAUCCGGGGCGACACACGUGUUACAAUGGCGUGGACAAAGGGAUGCCACCUGGCGACAGGGAGCGAAUCCCCAAACCACGUCUCAGUUCGGAUCGGAGUCUGCAACCCGACUCCGUGAAGCUGGAUUCGCUAGUAAUCGCGCAUCAGCCAUGGCGCGGUGAAUACGUUCCCGGGCCUUGUACACACCGCCCGUCAAGCCAUGGGAGCCGGGGGUACCUGAAGUCCGUAACCGAAAGGAUCGGCCUAGGGUAAAACUGGUGACUGGGGCUAAGUCGU